rnacentral:rRNA from 1 species
UGGGGAAUAUUGGACAAUGGGCGAAAGCCUGAUCCAGCCAUGCCGCGUGUGUGAAGAAGGUCUUAGGAUUGUAAAGCACUUUAAGUUGGGAGGAAGGGCAUUAACCUAAUACGUUAGUGUUUUGACGUUACCGACAGAAUAAGCACCGGCUAACUCUGUGCCAGCAGCCGCGGUAAUACAGAGGGUGCAAGCGUUAAUCGGAAUUACUGGGCGUAAAGCGCGCGUAGGUGGUUUGUUAAGUUGGAUGUGAAAUCCCCGGGCUCAACCUGGGAACUGCAUUCAAAACUGACUGACUAGAGUAUGGUAGAGGGUGGUGGAAUUUCCUGUGUAGCGGUGAAAUGCGUAGAUAUAGGAAGGAACACCAGUGGCGAAGGCGACCACCUGGACUAAUACUGACACUGAGGUGCGAAAGCGUGGGGAGCAAACA